rnacentral:rRNA from 1 species
CGUGCUUAACACAUGCAAGUCGAAUGGAAAGGCCCUUCGGGGUACUCGAGUGGCGAACGGGUGAGUAACACGUGGGUGAUCUGCCCUGCACUUUGGGAUAAGCCUGGGAAACUGGGUCUAAUACCGAAUAUGACCACGCUCUUCGUGGGGUGUGGUGGAAAGCUUUUGCGGUGUGGAUGGGCCCGCGGCCUAUCAGCUUGUUGGUGGGGUAAUGGCCUACCAAGGCGACGACGGGUAGCCGGCCUGAGAGGGUGACCGGCCACACUGGGACUGAGAUACGGCCCAGACUCCUACGGGAGGCAGCAGUGGGAAAUAUUGCACAAUGGGCGCAAGCCUGAUGCAGCGACGCCGCGUGAGGGAUGACGGCCUUCGGGUUGUAAACCUCUUUCACCAGGGACGAAGCGCAAGUGACGGUACCUGGAGAAGAAGCACCGGCCAACUACGUGCCAGCAGCCGCGGUAAUACGUAGGGUGCGAGCGUUGUCCGGAAUUACUGGGCGUAAAGAGCUCGUAGGUGGUUUGUCGCGUUGUUCGUGAAAACUCACAGCUUAACUGUGGGCGUGCGGGCGAUACGGGCAGACUAGAGUACUGCAGGGGAGACUGGAAUUCCUGGUGUAGCGGUGGAAUGCGCAGAUAUCAGGAGGAACACCGGUGGCGAAGGCGGGUCUCUGGGCAGUAACUGACGCUGAGGAGCGAAAGCGUGGGGAGCGAACAGGAUUAGAUACCCUGGUAGUCCACGCCGUAAACGGUGGGUACUAGGUGUGGGUUCCUUCCUUGGGAUCCGUGCCGUGGCUAACGCAUUAAGUACCCCGCCUGGGGAGUACGGCCGCAAGGCUAAAACUCAAAGGAAUUGACGGGGGCCCGCACAAGCGGCGGAGCAUGUGGAUUAAUUCGAUGCAACGCGAAGAACCUUACCUGGGUUUGACAUGCACAGGACGCUGGUAGAGAUAUCAGUUCCCUUGUGGCCUGUGUGCAGGUGGUGCAUGGCUGUCGUCAGCUCGUGUCGUGAGAUGUUGGGUUAAGUCCCGCAACGGGCGCAACCCCUAUCUUAUGUUGCCAGCGCGUUAUGGCGGGGACUCGUAAGAGACUGCCGGGGUCAACUCGGAGGAAGGUGGGGAUGACGUCAAGUCAUCAUGCCCCUUAUGUCCAGGGCUUCACACAUGCUACAAUGGCCGGUACAAAGGGCUGCGAAUCCGCGAGGUGGAGCGAAUCCCUUGAAAGCCGGUCUCAGUUCGGAUCGGGGUCUGCAACUCGACCCCGUGAAGUUGGAGUCGCUAGUAAUCGCAGAUUAGCAACGCUGCGGUGAAUACGUUCCCGGGCCUUGCAAUCACCGCCCGUCA